AGCGAACGCUGGCGGCAGGCCUAACACAUGCAAGUCGAACGAAGCCUUCGGGCUUAGUGGCGGACGGGUGAGUAACACGUGGGAACGUACCUUUUGGUUCGGAACAACUCAGGGAAACUUGAGCUAAUACCGGAUGAGCCCUUAGGGGGAAAGAUUUAUCGCCGAAAGAGCGGCCCGCGUUAGAUUAGCUAGUUGGUGAGGUAAAGGCUCACCAAGGCAACGAUCUAUAGCUGGUCUGAGAGGAUGAUCAGCCACACUGGGACUGAGACACGGCCCAGACUCCUACUGGAGGCAGCAGUGGGGAAUCUUGCGCAAUGGGCGAAAGCCUGACGCAGCCAUGCCGCGUGAAUGAUGAAGGUCUUAGGAUUGUAAAAUUCUUUUACCAGGGACGAUAAUGACGGUACCUGGAGAAAAAGCCCCGGCUAACUUCGUGCCAGCCGCCGCAGUAAAAC
rnacentral:rRNA from 1 species